GGCCGGAGAUGGAGAUCUGGGGAUGUCCAGGGGAAUCCUGUCUCACCCUCUCCUAGUCCCGCUCUCACCUGGCGGAAGUGGGAGGCUCCGUGGCGCCGGUAGCGGACGCGGUACUUGAGAGAGAAGAUGUCCGGGAAAGGCCAGGAGGCAGGGGGAUGCCAGAGCACCUGCAGCCGCUGUCCCGCUGCGCGCAGGCGCACGCCUUCCGGGGGAUCGGGCUUGACUGUGGGGAGCAAGGAGCCAGGGGGACUUCAUUGAGGAGCUGACAUGUCAUCAGAGACAUAAGAAGGCCAAGGAAAAAAGCCAUGCAAACACCCCUAGCAGGCUGGAGCCUGGGGUGUGGGGAAGUAAGAGGAGGCAAGUGAAGCUGGAGCAUAGCCUGAGGAGGGAGGCUGCAGGGACUGGCAGGACUGGGGGCCCCCCAGUGGUGAAGGAUGGAGACUGCAAGGGCCUGGAAGGACAAACACUCACUGAUCCGCUCCGCCACAAAGGCCAGGAGGCUGCUGCUGGCGCCGCCGGGGUGCACCGCCGUGACAUUGAACAAGUAUGGCACCAUGGAGAACAUUUGCACGUGGGGGAUGGUGCACCGAGUGGCCUGGGGGUUCGGCUGUAGGCAGAGCCGGCUCUGCUGCUGGGCGGCCACACCGAGCCUGCGUGGGAAGCACCGUGGGGGUCACGAAGGGCACUGGGUGUCCACGCGGCCCCAGCCCACCCACAGCUGACCGUGGGACCCGGACAAGCUCAGGGGACACCGCUGGUGUGGAUCCUCGUUCUGUUAUUUUGGAGACAGGCUCCUGUGGGUCUCAGGCUGCCUCCGCCCCUGAGUGGAGCGGGACAAUGGAAUCUCUUGGUUCCCCACUUCAUCCUGGCCCCUCUCCAUUCUCUGACCUGUCCUGUGGUUCUGGUUUGCUGGGGCUGAAGAAUCCGCUGUGACUAACAAGAGACUACAAAGGGAAACUUUGCUUUGCUGGGAUACUUGUUACUGGUCAGCUGGUGCUAAGAAAUUCUCGGUGACUAAGAAGAGACCUGCGUCACUGAGGGGAAAUCUUCUGGGAGGUGUUUCCUGAGAGCACAGAGAAGCUGUGUUCCAGAAGAGCCAAACUGGUACCCUGUGCUGGCAGCGGGCAGAGCUGGAGAAGUGACCCAGCCAUUUGGAGGAGUCCAGAAGAUCGUGAAUGGGUCCCAGAAGUUGGACGGUUGGAAUUUUGCUUUGCUUUGAUUUGAUUUUGACUGUGUCCUGAUUUCUCCCUCUUGAAGUAAAAAAUUAUAUUACUGGAGCCCA